CAAUAGCGUAUAUUAAAGUUGUUGCAGUUAAAAAGCUCGUAGUUGGAUUUCUGGUCGGAAGCUCCUGUCCUCUGAUGAGCGUACAAGUGCGUCCUACCAUCCUUCUGUUAACCUUUAAGGCUUUCGCGGCUUUCUAGGGGCUCAGAUAUUUUACCUUGAGAAAAUUAGAGUGUCUCAGGCAGGCUAGCGCCGGAAUACAUUAGCAUGGAAUAAUGGAAUAGGACUUUUGCCUCUUCUGUUGGUCAUGAGGCUCGAGUAAUGAUUAAUAGGGAUAGUUGGGGGCAUUAGUACUUAACUGUCAGAGGUGAAAUUCUCGGAUUUGUUAAAGACUAACUUAUGCGAAAGCAUUUGCCAAGGAUGUUUUCAUUAA
rnacentral:rRNA from 1 species